rnacentral:lncRNA from 1 species
UUUCAUUGUCCCAAGGAACAGUCUCUUCGCUUCCACCAUCGCGUGAGGGGGGUAAAACAGAGGCUCUGAUAUCCAAUGAUGAAAAUGCGGCGGAGGUUGUUUCGUGCGGGAAAAAUGUGCCUAAAAGGAAUGUGGGCGGCAAUGUCAGAGGAAGACCUGUUGGGCCGAAACAAAGGAGUCCCAGGUCAGGCCCAACCGAAGCCCAGUCCAGUAAAGAAGAUGAAGGCCCACAUCAUCUAGAGAGUGGCCCAGGAAAUCAGGAAGCAUUUUUGGCCCAGCCCUUUCUUGACUCUUGCGGUUUGGUCUCCC